rnacentral:rRNA from 1 species
GACGAACGCUGGCGGCGUGCUUAACACAUGCAAGUCGAACGGAAAGGCCCUGCUUUUGUGGGGUGCUCGAGUGGCGAACGGGUGAGUAACACGUGAGUAACCUGCCCUUGACUUUGGGAUAACUUCAGGAAACUGGGGCUAAUACCGGAUAGGAGCUCCUGCUGCAUGGUGGGGGUUGGAAAGUUUCGGCGGUUGGGGAUGGACUCGCGGCUUAUCAGCUUGUUGGUGGGGUAGUGGCUUACCAAGGCUUUGACGGGUAGCCGGCCUGAGAGGGUGACCGGCGGCGGGGGGGGCGGGAGAGGGGCAAGGGGGGGGCGGGGGGCGGCAGUGGGGGAGGUUGGACGAGGGGAGGAAGCCGGGCGGAAGGGGGGGGGGGGGGGGAGGAAGGGCGUCGGGGUGAACACCGGGUGCGCGGGUGGGGAGGGGGGAGAGACGGUGGUGAGAAAAGAAUAACGGGGGAAGGAAGUGCCAGCAGGGGGGUGAAUAAGGAGAAGAGCCCCCGGCGGCAC